rnacentral:rRNA from 16 species
AAAAUGGAUUUCUUUGAACAAGCCCCGAUGAAGGUCAUCGUCGCAACUGCAAUCCGUCUCAUUUUUCUCUCGAUUAGUAAAAAUAAAUAGAGGAGGUCUUAAAAUCGAGUUAUCGUCGAACGGUUGUUGU